rnacentral:rRNA from 1 species
GACGAACGCUGGCGGCGUGCCUAAUACAUGCAAGUAGAACGCUGAAGGAGGAGCUUGCUUCUCUGGAUGAGUUGCGAACGGGUGAGUAACGCGUAGGUAACCUGCCUGGUAGCGGGGGAUAACUAUUGGAAACGAUAGCUAAUACCGCAUAAUAGCAGUUAUUGCAUGAUAACUGUUUGAAAGGUGCAAUUGCAUCACUACCAGAUGGACCUGCGUUGUAUUAGCUAGUUGGUGAGGUAACGGCUCACCAAGGCGACGAUACAUAGCCGACCUGAGAGGGUGAUCGGCCACACUGGGACUGAGACACGGCCCAGACUCCUACGGGAGGCAGCAGUAGGGAAUCUUCGGCAAUGGACGGAAGUCUGACCGAGCAACGCCGCGUGAGUGAAGAAGGUUUUCGGAUCGUAAAGCUCUGUUGUAAGAGAAGAACGAGUGUGAGAGUGGAAAGUUCACACUGAG